AUUGAACGCUGGCGGCAGGCCUAACACAUGCAAGUCGAACGAGUGGCGGACGGGUGAGUAAUGCUUGGGAAUCUGCCUGAUGGAGGGGGAUAACUACUGGAAACGGUCGCUAAUACCGCAUACCAUCGGAUGUGCCCAGGUGGGAUUAGCUAGUUGGUGGGGUAAAGGCCUACCUAGGCGACGAUCCCUAGCUGGUCUGAGAGGAUGACCAGCCACACUGGAACUGAGACACGGUCCAGACUCCUACGGGAGGCAGCAGUGGGGAAUAUUGCACAAUGGGCGCAAGCCUGAUGCAGCCAUGCCGCGUGUAUGAAGAAGGCCUUCGGGUUGUAAAGUACUUUCAGCGGGGAGGCGUUACCCGCAGAAGAAGCACCGGCUAACUCCGUACCAGCAGCCGCGGUAAUAC
rnacentral:rRNA from 1 species